rnacentral:rRNA from 1 species
GAUGAACGCUGGCGGCGUGCCUAAUACAUGCCAGUCGAGCGAACAGACGAGGAGCUUGCUCCUCUGACGUUAGCGGCGGACGGGUGAGUAACACGUGGAUAACCUACCUAUAAGACUGGGAUAACUUCGGGAAACCGGAGCUAAUACCGGAUAAUAUAUUGAACCGCAUGGUUCAAUAGUGAAAGACGGUUUUGCUGUCACUUAUAGAUGGAUCCGCGCCGCAUUAGCUAGUUGGUAAGGUAACGGCUUACCAAGGCAACGAUGCGUAGCCGACCUGAGAGGGUGAUCGGCCACACUGGAACUGAGACACGGUCCAGACUCCUACGGGAGGCAGCAGUAGGGAAUCUUCCGCAAUGGGCGAAAGCCUGACGGAGCAACGCCGCGUGAGUGAUGAAGGUCUUCGGAUCGUAAAACUCUGUUAUUAGGGAAGAACAAAUGUGUAAGUAACUAUGCACGUCUUGACGGUACCUAAUCAGAAAGCCACGGCUGACUACGUG